rnacentral:rRNA from 1 species
AUUGAACGCUGGCGGCAUGCUUUACACAUGCAAGUCGAACGGUAACAGGCCGCAAGGUGCUGACGAGUGGCGAACGGGUGAGUAAUGCAUCGGAACGUGCCCAGUCGUGGGGGAUAACGCAGCGAAAGCUGCGCUAAUACCGCAUACGAUCUAUGGAUGAAAGCGGGGGACCGUAAGGCCUCGCGCGAUUGGAGCGGCCGAUGUCAGAUUAGGUAGUUGGUGGGGUAAAGGCUCACCAAGCCAACGAUCUGUAGCUGGUCUGAGAGGACGACCGGCCACACGGGGACUGAGACACGGCCCAGACUCCUACGGGAGGCAGCAGUGGGGAAUUUUGGACAAUGGGCGCAAGCCUGAUCCAGCAAUGCCGCGUGCAGGAAGAAGGCCUUCGGGUUGUAAACUGCUUUUGUACGGAACGAAACGGUCUGGGUUAAUACCUCGGGCUAAUGACGGUACCGUAAGAAUAAGCACCGGCUAACUACGUGCCAGCCGCCGCCGUAAUAC